CCUACCCAUAAAAGUGUUGUGGAUGUGGCUGCUGUGUCACGAGUGCAUCAGUAGGUGGCAGAGAGGGAGAGGCCACGUCUAUGUUCAGUGUUCUGAUCUAAGAAAAUCUUGCCAAUUGAUAGUUUAACAUU